rnacentral:rRNA from 1 species
UACGUAGGGGGCAAGCGUUGUCCGGAUUUAUUGGGCGUAAAGCGCGCGUAGGCGGCCUUGUAAGUUAGAGGUGAAAGCCCGGGGCUCAACUCCGGAACUGCCUUUAAGACUGCAUCGCUUGAAUCCGGGAGAGGUGAGUGGAAUUCCGAGUGUAGAGGUGAAAUUCGUAGAUAUUCGGAAGAACACCAGUGGCGAAGGCGGCUCACUGGACCGGUAUUGACGCUGAGGUGCGAAAGCGUGGGGAGCAAACGGG